rnacentral:rRNA from 1 species
AACGAACGCUGGCGGCAGGCUUAACACAUGCAAGUCGAGCGCCCCGCAAGGGGAGCGGCAGACGGGUGGGUACCGCGUGGGGACGUACCCUUAUCUUCGUGCUAGCUCCGGGAGACUGGAAUUAAUACAGAAUGUGCCCUAUCGGGGAAAGAUUUAUCGGGUAAGGAUCGGCCCGCGUUGGAUUAGCCAGUCGGUGGGGUAAAGGCCUACCAAGGCGACGAUCCAUAGCUGGUCUGAGAGGAUGAGCAGCCACAUUGGGACUGAGACACGGCCCAAACUCCUACGGGAGGCAGCAGUGGGUAAUAUUGGACAAUGGGCGCAAGCCUGAUCCAGCCAUGCCGCGUGAGUGAUGAAGGCCUUAGGGUUGUAAAGCUCUUUCACCGGAGAAGAUAAUGACGUUAUCCGGAGAAGAAGCCCCGGCUAACUUCGUG